rnacentral:lncRNA from 1 species
GGGUGAAUAGGAAAAAUGAAAAUUCCAAAAAAAAUCAUAGGUUAGUUUUGUGAUUGACUUUGAGUUUUGGGUCAAUUUUGCAAAAAAACCCUUAAAAUAAACAUAGGUUGGGUAUUAAAAUGGGCACAAUUAGUGUAUUAAAAUGAAGAAAAUAAAUUGUUUAGGUAUGAAAUUGAGUAGUGAAGAAAAAAUGGUUAUUAAAAAGCUUAAUGAAAUUUAGUUGGGGUAUGUUAUAGAAU